rnacentral:lncRNA from 1 species
CACAAGUCUCUUAGGGAUCUCAGAUAAUUCCAGGAAACUCUCAUGAGAAUCAAGUCUAGGUUUUUAGAGAUCAUUUUCUUGUACUCUUCUGCAAUUUCCCUUCUAAAAAGAUUUGAGACCUGCCUUCAAGCGUUAUUUUUCUGCUUCCAGGAACAAAGGUGCAGGCAGAGCAGCUGGGAUUUGAUUGACAGAUGUGUCCCUGUCUCUCCUUCAUGGACACCCACAGUGCAACAGCAGGAGGCUUCGCUGAAGCUCCAAGGCUCUCUCUCACAGCAGCUGUCAAGCUGUUUCUUGGCUCAGUUGGCAGGAACCAGUGCUGCUGUUGGGCAGGAUGCAUCUGUAGACCGGUGCCUGAGUUCCAGAACACACUGCAGCUGUGACCCAGGCUGGAAUCUGGCGAUCCUGGCCCUGGGGUACCCAUUUGCUGUGGAACAUUAUGGACCCGCAUGAGAUCAUCUCUACUGAUGGUAACUAAGAGUUGCCUUUUCUGUUUGAAUGAGGUUGUGUGGUCUUUGUCUUCAGUUGCCUGGCAUUUAGAAUAUUCCCU